rnacentral:rRNA from 1 species
ACGGGUGAGUAACGCGUGGGUAACCUGCCUCAUACAGGGGGAUAACAGUUAGAAAUGACCGCUAAUACCGCAUAAGCGCACAGUGCUGCAUGGCACAGUGUGAAAAACUCCGGUGGUAUGAGAUGGACCCGCGUCUGAUUAGCUAGUUGGUGGGGUAACGGCCUACCAAGGCGACGAUCAGUAGCCGGCCUGAGAGGGUGAACGGCCACAUUGGGACUGAGACACGGCCCAAACUCCUACGGGAGGCAGCAUG